rnacentral:lncRNA from 1 species
CUCUGGUCUCUGGUGAUGGUGGGAUAGCACUGGCAUUGAGGAAGGAUGAAGGAAAGCUAUUGCAACCUUUUCUUUGUGCUUAUGGCCAAGGUUGAAGCACUGUAGCUCUCCCUGAAGGCAGUGUCCCUUUUCUCUUCUGCUGUAGCUUCACCUCUGCCCCAGGCAUUGCCACUUGCUACCAGUGGUAGGUGGGUCUUGUUGCUGUCUGUCAGCCUAGGGCAAGGAAACCAUUGCUCAUUCUGUACCAUCUCUGGUAGAUCUGCUAGAUUUGAGUCCUCUGAAAUAUGGCCCACAGGCUGGAUGGGAGCUUCACAGAAUCAUAAGGAUUGGAAGGAACCUCCAGAGAUUGAGUCCAACCCCCCGCCAAAGCAGGUUCCCUACACCAGGUCACACAGGUAGGUGACCUGCUGGCCACUC